UGGGGAAUUUUGGACAAUGGGCGCAAGCCUGAUCCAGCCAUGCCGCGUGCAGGAUGAAGGCCUUCGGGUUGUAAACUGCUUUUGUACGGAACGAAACGGCCUUUUCUAAUAAAGAGGGCUAAUGACGGUACCGUAAGAAUAAGCACCGGCUAACUACGUGCCAGCAGCCGCGGUAAUACGUAGGGUGCAAGCGUUAAUCGGAAUUACUGGGCGUAAAGCGUGCGCAGGCGGUUAUGUAAGACAGUUGUGAAAUCCCCGGGCUCAACCUGGGAACUGCAUCUGUGACUGCAUAGCUAGAGUACGGUAGAGGGGGAUGGAAUUCCGCGUGUAGCAGUGAAAUGCGUAGAUAUGCGGAGGAACACCGAUGGCGAAGGCAAUCCCCUGGACCUGUACUGACGCUCAUGCACGAAAGCGUGGGGAGCAAACAGG
rnacentral:rRNA from 1 species